GCUAGCGUAGCUUAAAUAAAGCAUAACACUGAAGAUGUUAAGAUGAAACCCU
rnacentral:tRNA from 1 species